rnacentral:rRNA from 1 species
AUUGAACGCUGGCGGCAGGCCUAACACAUGCAAGUCGAGCGGAUGAAGGGUGCUUGCUCCUGGAUUCAGCGGCGGACGGGUGAGUAAUGCCUAGGAAUCUGCCUGGUAGUGGGGGAUAACGUCCGGAAACGGGCGCUAAUACCGCAUACGUCCUGAGGGAGAAAGUGGGGGAUCUUCGGACCUCACGCUAUCAGAUGAGCCUAGGUCGGAUUAGCUAGUUGGUGGGGUAAAGGCCUACCAAGGCGACGAUCCGUAACUGGUCUGAGAGGAUGAUCAGUCACACUGGAACUGAGACACGGUCCAGACUCCUACGGGAGGCAGCAGUGGGGAAUAUUGGACAAUGGGCGAAAGCCUGAUCCAGCCAUGCCGCGUGUGUGAAGAAGGUCUUCGGAUUGUAAAGCACUUUAAGUUGGGAGGAAGGGCAGUAAGUUAAUACCUUGCUGUUUUGACGGUACCAACAGAAUAAGCACCGGCUAACUUCGUG